AACGAACGCUGGCGGCAGGCUUAACACAUGCAAGUCGAACGCCCCGCAAGGGGAGUGGCAGACGGGUGAGUAACGCGUGGGAAUCUACCUAGUUCUACAGAACAACAGUUGGAAACGACUGCUAAUACCGUAUACGCCCUACGGGGGAAAGAUUUAUCGGAAUUAGAUGAGCCCGCGUAAGAUUAGCUAGUUGGUGGGGUAAUGGCCUACCAAGGCGACGAUCUUUAGCUGGUCUGAGAGGAUGAUCAGCCACACUGGGACUGAGACACGGCCCAGACUCCUACGGGAGGCAGCAGUGGGGAAUAUUGGACAAUGGGCGCAAGCCUGAUCCAGCCAUGCCGCGUGAGUGAUGAAGGCCUUAGGGUUGUAAAGCUCUUUCACCGAUGAAGAUAAUGACGGUAGUCGGAGAAGAAGCCCCGGCUAACUUCGUGCCAGCAGCCGCGGUAAUAC
rnacentral:rRNA from 1 species